AUGAUUUCACUUUUUUAUUCGUAAGGAACUUAACUAAGUUUAAAUAUAAUGAUUUUUUGUAAAACAAAUUGAAAAAUAUAGACUGAAAAAGACGUCUUCAGAUAAAUAGACUUUAUUGUAGGUCUACGAAACCCUAAACCACAAAUCUCAAACCCUAAAUGUUUUGCUUGAUAAUCAAAAAGUCUCAUUUAUACAAAAUAUAAACUACUAAACAUUAAUCUGCAGAUUUAAGUUAAUAAAACAAAAAAAAAAACAAAAUCUAAAAUCUAACCCUAUGAAAUCAACUACUAAAAGACAUAAUAUGUUAGAACCUUUUGU
rnacentral:lncRNA from 1 species